GAAAAAAAAAAAAAAAAAAAAAAAUCGAAUCUUUGAACGCACCUUGCACCUUUUGGUUAUUCCGAAAGGUACGCCUGUUUGAAUGUCA
rnacentral:rRNA from 1 species